rnacentral:rRNA from 1 species
GACGUAGGGCGCGAGCGUUGUCCGGAUUUAUUGGGCGUAAAGAGCUCGUAGGCGGCUUGUCGCGUCGUCCGUGAAAACCCAUGGCUCAACUGUGGGCUUGCGGUCGAUACGGGCAGACUGGAGGUAUGCAGGGGAGAACGGAAUUCCUGGUGUAGCGGUGAAAUGCGCAGAUAUCAGGAGGAACACCGGUGGCGAAGGCGGUUCUCUGGGCAUGUCCUGACGCUGAGGAGCGAAAGUGUGGGGAGCGAACAGG